GACGUAGGGCGCGAGCGUUUGUCCGGAUUUAUUGGGCGUAAAGAGCUCGUAGGCGGCUUGUCGCGUCGAAUGUGAAAAUCUCAGGGCUCAACUCUGACAUUGCAUUCGAUACGGGCAGGCUAGAGUUCGGGUAGGGGAGACUGGAAUUCCUGGUGUAGGCGGUGAAAUGCGCAGAUAUCAGGAGGAACACCAAUGGCGAAGGCAGCUCGCUGGGACGGUACUGACGCUGAGACGCGAAAGCGUGGGGAGCGAACAGG
rnacentral:rRNA from 1 species